AAGCCAUGCGAGUCAAAUGUUCUUCGUGAACAUGGCGUACUGCUCAGUAACACGUGGAUAACCUGCCCUUUAGGACUGGCAUAACCCCGGGAAACUGGGGAUAAUUCCGGAUAGUUCAUGGUAGCUGGAAUGCUCCAUGAUCGAAAGCUAUUGCGCAUAAGGAUGGGUCUGCGGUCUAUCAGGUAGUAGUGGGUGUAAUGUACCUACUAGCCGACGACGGAUACGGGUUGUGGGAGCAAGAGCCCGGAGAUGGAUUCUGAGACAUGAAUCCAGGCCCUACGGGGCGCAGCAGGCGCGAAAACUAUACAAUGCGGGAAACCGCGAUAAGGGGACACCGAGUGCCAGCAUCUUAUGUUGGCUGUCCGCAUGUAUAAAUCACAUGUGUUAGCAAGGGCCGGGCAAGACCGGUGCCAGCCGCCGCGGUAACACCGGCGGUCCGAGUGGUGGCCACUAUUAUUGGGUCUAAAGGGUCCGUAGCCGGUUUGGUCAGUCUUCCGGGAAAUCUGACGGCUUAACCGUUAGGCUUUCGGGGGAUACUACCAGGCUUGGGACCGGGAGAGGUAAGAGGUACUACGGGGGUAGGAGUGAAAUCUUGUAAUCCUCGUGGGACUACCAGUGGCGAAGGCGUCUUACCAGAACGGGUCCGACGGUGAGGGACGAAAGCUGGGGGCACGAACCGGAUUAGAUACCCGGGUAGUCCCAGCCGUAAACUAUGCUCGCUAGGUGUCAGGGACGGUGCGACCGUUUCUGGUGCCGCAGGGAAGCCGUGAAGCGAGCCACCUGGGAAGUACGGUCGCAAGGCUGAAACUUAAAGGAAUUGGCGGGGAAGCACUACAACGGGUGGAGCCUGCGGUUUAAUUGGACUCAACGCCGGAAAACUCACCGGGGGCGACAGCAAUAUGU
rnacentral:rRNA from 1 species